UUAUGACCAUACCACAUUGAAACACCAGUUCCUGUACAAUCACUGAAGUUAAGAAACGUUGAGCCUGGUCAGUAUCUAGAUGGAUGACCCCUUGGGAAUACCAGGUGCUGUAA
rnacentral:rRNA from 1 species